UUUUUAAAAUAUUUUGACUUUUUUUGAAUAGUUUUUAUAGUUUUAUGGUGUAAAUUUCGUAUCUCGAUUUCUUGUACAGUUAAUUAAUGCAAUUCUUUCUAAAAUUAUAAAAAAUGAAUGUUAUUACCUACCAUUCUCACUACCUACAAUAACAAUAAUAAUAAUAAAGUUAAUAAUAAUAAUAUACAUAAUCUUUACACCGUUCCACGAGAGAACGUACACGUUUUUCGUCCGUCGCUGCGCAUCUGCCACCAUUUUCUUCCGUUUGGUUACGAUCGUUAACUGUUUGGCUGGCGGUUGGUAAGACUCCUCGCAUACGUAGUCGCAGGGCCGUAAAAAGUUAAAGACAUUUAGCUUCCGCGCUGUCACCGGCGUCAACGAACUAUAUUACAUACACGUUCCUAAUAUUUUUUCCAUACAAAUUUUUUAUAGAUUUUAAUUUUAUAAAAUUUAAAUUGUCAGGUGAAAAAACUUGGGAAGAACGUUUAGUUAAAAUAGAAAUACUCUGUAGGGAUUACCAAACUGUGGAAUAUGAAGCUCAAAAUUAUUAUCUUAACAAAUUUAAGAAAAUUAUUUAUAAACUAAC